ensembl:lncRNA
AUUUCUCCAUAAGACAAAUCUCAGGACACCUAACUUUGGUUUUGGAGGAGGGAUGAAAAGUUGGUUGUUACAUAAGAAGCUUCUUUUUUUUUUUUUUUUUUUUUUUCUAUAUUGAUCUUGACAGGAAGAGGAAAAUCCUUCAGCGUGGAAUAGUCUGAAGAGAAUAAUGGAAACCAAUGCUAUAAUGUCAAUAAUGUCAAACCAAUGGGAAAACACAGGGGUCUGUAACAAGUGUGAGCAUUCAAGGACGAUGAACUGACACCCAGGCUUAGAACAAUAGGAAGCUUUCCAAAGUUGGUUGCACUGAUGGCUGUAGCUAAAAAGCAUCAUUAGAUUUAACCUAAGCUAGUCUCAAGAUCUCCCGAAGUUUACAAUGCAGUUCUUCAGACAGACAUCUGGGAAGACAUUCUGAGCUAUAGAGAGGAGUACUGAGUUAAACCAGUACUUAAACAUUCAAAACAAAAUAUUAUUCCAUCGUUAUUUUAUGCAGAUGGAAGACUAUUCAGCAGAAAAUGUGGAAAAUUCGCAGCCUUUUUUUUUUCUUCACAGACUUUAAAGGAAGGAUGCUCCAUGAGGCAAUUAAAGUGAAACUUCACAAAGUUCUACUGCUUUGAGCAGGAACUUGUAUUAGACGACUGCCUGAGGCCCCUGCCAAUCUGUAUUAUCUCCCAGACCUAUUUUUAAACAACUCUUCAGUGACUAUCUGUUAAACUUUGUUUAUACCAUCUAAUGUCUGGUUUUUACCCUACAAACUGGAUGUGCUCAGCCACUCCGAGGUAGCGGUCUGUAAUAUAUGGGAAAGCCUGCAGAAAGCUCUACUGCACUCACGUGGAAAGCAGCUGUUUCUCAAGGAAGAAGAUAAUUUAUCACCCAGCUAUUUGGCUCUUUGGAAUCAUUCAAGUGUACAAAGAAUGAAACCUCCUUCUAAGAGAAACAAAGAUCUGCCUUAUUUGCUGGUCGGUGUGGCUUCAUUGCUCUCUACUUGGGACGCUUGCAAGAAGUUGUUCCAUUUUCUUGGAGUUGCUGUUCUAUCCUGCUGGUUUCAAACAUUGCUUUCUUAAAAAUAUGUUUCUCUUGUCAUUGCAUAAUGCUAAUGAAAUCUAUAUGAUUGUUUAAAUAAGAAAGAACAGAGAGCACAAAUAUAUAUUAUCAAUAAUAGAAGCCUAUAAUUUCAAUGGAAUUGAGAAGCUGACUUUUCAGUUUAACUUACAGAAUGGCUGUCUUUCAGGCUUUUGUGUUAGUGAAUAGAGAAUGCAGUAUCAGCCUCAGUGCUUCCUCUUAUGCCUCAAAUUACAAAAUAUACCUGGUUACAAUUGUAG